AAACCAGCACCUCAAGUGGUCAGGAUGAUUAUUGGGCCUAAAGCAUCCGUAGCUGGCUCAGUAAGUUUUCGGUUAAAUCUGUACGCUCAACGUACAGGCUGCCGGGAAUACUGCAGAGCUAGGGAGUGGGAGAGGUAGACGGUACUCGGGAGGAAGUGGUAAAAUGCUUUGAUCUUUCGAUGACCACCUGUGGCGAAGGCGGUCUACCAGAACACGUCCGACGGUGAGGGAUGAAAGCUGGGGGAGCAAACAGGAUUAGAAACCCCGGUAGUCC
rnacentral:rRNA from 1 species